rnacentral:snRNA from 1 species
GUGCUCGCUUCUGUAGCACAUAUACUAAAAUUGGAACGAUACAGAGUAGAUUAGCAUGGCCCCUGUGCAAGGAUGACACACAAAUUCAUGAAGCGUUUCAUAUUAAA